rnacentral:rRNA from 1 species
GACGAACGCUGGCGGCGUGCCUAAUACAUGCAAGUUGAGCGCUGAAGGUUGGUACUUGUCCCAACUGGAUGAGCAGCGAACGGGUGAGUAACGCGUGGGGAAUCUGCCUUUGAGCGGGCGACAACAUUUGGAAACGAAUGCUAAUACCGCAUAAAAACUUUAAACACAAGUUUUAAGUUUGAAAGAUGCAAUUGCAUCACUCAAAGAUGAUCCCGCGUUGUAUUAGCUAGUUGGUGAGGUAAAGGCUCACCAAGGCGAUGAUACAUAGCCGACCUGAGAGGGUGAUCGGCCACAUUGGGACUGAGACACGGCCCAAACUCCUACGGGAGGCAGCAGUAGGGAAUCUUCGGCAAUGGACGAAAGUCUGACCGAGCAACGCCGCGUGAGUGAAGAAGGUUUUCGGAUCGUAAAACUCUGUUGGUAGAGAAGAACGUUGGUGAGAGUGGAAAGCUCAUCAAGUGACGGUAACUACCCAGAAAGGGACGGCUAACUACGUG